GACGAACGCUGGCGGCGUGCCUAAUACAUGCAAGUUGAGCGCUGAAGGUUGGUACUUGUACCAACUGGAUGAGCAGCGAACGGGUGAGUAACGCGUGGGGAAUCUGCCUUUGAGCGGGGGACAACAUUUGGAAACGAAUGCUAAUACCGCAUAAAAACUUUAAACACAAGUUUUAAGUUUGAAAGAUGCAAUUGCAUCACUCAAAGAUGAUCCCGCGUUGUAUUAGCUAGUUGGUGAGGUAAAGGCUCACCAAGGCGAUGAUACAUAGCCGACCUGAGAGGGUGAUCGGCCACAUUGGGACUGAGGCACGGCCCAAACUCCUACGGGAGGCAGCAGUAGGGAAUCUUCGGCAAUGGACGAAAGUCUGACCGAGCAACGCCGCGGGAGUGAAGAAGGUUUUCGGAUCGUAAAACUCUGUUGGUAGAGAAGAACGUUGGUGAGAGUGGAAAGCUCAUCAAGUGACGGUAACUACCCAGAAAGGGACGGCUAACUACGUG
rnacentral:rRNA from 1 species